CCUUCGUAAUUGACAAAACUGACAAACCGCCUAAAAAACUGUCAUUUCGCAGUUUACUGGGAACAAUCGUAUCUUUGCCUGUCAAGGCUGUCUCCUCUAUUAUUUAACCUGUAUAUUCCUUAUAACAUGCACUCCAAGAUCAGUUAAGCAAAAAAGGUGAUAACUUCAAAAUAAUUCUGUCAAAGAGUUAAGAAACUGGUAGUAGAUUGUCAUCUGUCUAUACAUUCAAACUCCAUAUUAUUAAUAACGGUGUUUGUUUAGGUGAUGCUUAACCUGUAGCAAGCGACAGGAAGUAGUUUCUAUCCCUAUAUCGUUUGUGAAAAUCACUUAGAAUUGACAAGUAGUCGUUGUAC